rnacentral:rRNA from 1 species
UUCUUGCACGCGACUAUAACCACGUGCACAGUCCAUCUCAACGGUGGGCGACGUCACCUACCUGCCGGGAUCCACCUCUGUGGGGACCAGCAGCCAGAUAUAACUUUGUUAUACUUGGUCUACAGAUUAGGCGGUGGCGGUCAGCGUGAUGUCUUUAAUCAGGCGUAUUCUGAUCAAGAUAUAAUCGGUCGCUAUUGUUGGUGUAGAUAGUUGAGAAACGUUCCGUAGGUGAACCUGCGGAAGGAUCAUUAUCGAGUUAGGGUCCUCUGGGCCCCAUCUCCAACCCUUGCCUAUAUUACCAUGUUGCUUUGGCGGGCCCGUCUUUAACCGGACCGCCGGGGACCUGUCCCUGGCCCGCGCCCGUCGGUAGCCCUUAUAAAUUCUUUAAAUUGUGAUGUCUAAGCAUAAAUAUAAUAACUAAAAACUUUCAACAACGGAUCUCUUGGUUCUGGCAUCGAUGAAGAACGCAGCGAAAUGCGAUAAGUAAUGCGAAUUGCAGAAUUCCGUGAGUCAUCGAAUCUUUGAACGCACAUUGCGCCCUUUGGUAUUCCGAAGGGCAUGCCUGUUCGAGCGUCAUUAUCAACCCUCAAGCCCGGCUUGCAGUUGGGUCUCACCGUCAGCGAUGACGGCGGACCCCAAAGAUAAUGGCAGAGUUCCGUGGACCCUGGAUGCAGCGAGCUCUUCAGCACGCGUCUCGGCGGUUCCUGGGCUCGGUCUUAACCAACUUAUUUAUCAGGUUGACCUCGGAUCAGGUAGGGAUACCCGCUGAACUUAA